GCUUUCGUGGUGUAGUGGUCAGCACGCUCGACGCGUAUUCGAGAGGUCCGUGGUUCGACUCCGGCCAGGGCA
rnacentral:tRNA from 1 species